rnacentral:ncRNA from 1 species
CUAUAUUAAUAGCAAACCAUUGGAAACGAUGGGACGCAAAGCUAUAGGGCCUUUAAUGUGGCAGCCAGUUACCAAA